rnacentral:sRNA from 1 species
UUGACUGUGUCAUGUUCAAUCCUCAAUUUUUGAGUAAGGGGUUGUCGGGGAUUUCUCCCCCUCGCCUAACGGGGCUUAGUAAGCUGGCUAGCUAAUAACAGAGAAAAUAAUCAGGAUGAUGAUUAAUUUCGUCAUACCCCUUUCUCUGUU